AACAUUUGUGUCGAUUGAAUAUGAAUGAUAUAAUAUCGUUAAAAAUGCGUUGGAAUCACUUGGUUUGAAUGUUGGAAAUUAGAUUCCAAACCCAUGCGAAUGAAGCGUAGAAAUUCAUCGACACUCAUGCCAUUUCUGGAGCAGAUUUUCCAAAGACUAGCAGUUUGUUCCAUUACUAGCUCAUCCAAACCAAGACGAUCAUAUUUCUUCGAUCGAUGCUUAGGUUCUUGGACAAGGUUUCUAGAUUCUUCUACAUCUUGAUUGGAAGGUUGGU